AUUGAACGCUGGCGGCAGGCCUAACACAUGCAAGUCGAGCGAGCGGCGGACGGGUGAGUAAUGUAUGGGGACUGCCCGAUAGAGGGGGAUAACUAAUGGAAACGGUAGCUAAUACCGCAUACUAUCGGAUAACCCAUAUGGGAUUAGCUAGUGGGUUAUGUAAUGGCUCACCUAGGAGACGAUCACUAGCUGGUCUGAGAGGAUGAUCAGCCACACUGGGACUGAGACACGGCACAGACUCGUACGGAGGCAGCAGUGGGGAAUAUUGCACAAUGGGCGAAAGCCUGAUGCAGCCAUGCCGCGUGUAUGAAGAAGGCCCUAGGGUUGUAAAGUACUUUCAGUCGGGAGGCGUGACCGAAAGAAGAAGCACCGGCUAACUCCGUGCCAGCAGCCGCGGUAAUAG
rnacentral:rRNA from 1 species